rnacentral:rRNA from 1 species
AAGUCGAACGCGCUUCCUCUUUCGGGAGGGAGCGAGUGGCGGACGGGUGAGUAACACAUGGGUACCUACCUUCCAGUGGGGGAUACCGGCGAGAAAUCGCCGACAAGCCCGCAUAGGCUUCCCACAAGGAAGCAAAGCCCUUUUUCGGAGGGGUGCUGGGAGAUGGGCCUGUGGCCGAUUAGCUAGCUGGUGGGGUAAGAGCCUACCAGGGCGACGAUCGGUAGCUGGUCUGAGAGGACGAGCAGCCACACUGGGAUUGAGAACGGCCCAGACUCCUACGGGGGGCAGCAGUGAGGAAUUUUCCGCAAUGGGCGCAAGCCUGACGGAGCAACGCCGCGUGCCGGAAGACGGCCUUCGGGUUGUAAACGGCUUUUCCCAGGGACGAGUAUCGGACGGUACCUGGGGAAGCAGCCCCGGCUAACUACGUGCCAGCAGCCGCGGUAAGACGUAGGGGGCGAGCGUUGUCCGGAGUUACUGGGCGUAAAGGGCGCGCAGGCGGUGUGGCGCAUUUCCGGUG